AGCUAAUAGAUACCCGGGUAGUCCUGGCCUUAAACGAUGAAUGCUUGGUGUCUGGGGUUUUAUAGUCCCCGGGUGGCCGUCGCUAAACGCUUUAAAGCAUUCCGCCUGGGGAGGUACGGUCGCAAGACUGAAACUCAAAGGAAUUGACGGGGACCCGGCACAAGCGGUGGAGCAGGUGGUUUAAUUCGACGCAACGCGAAGAACCUUACCUGGGCUAGAAUGCCUCUGACCGCCAUAGAGAUAUGGCUUCCUGGGUAAAACCAGGCAGAGUGCAAGGUGCUGCAUGGCUGUCGUCAGCUCGUGUCGUGAGAUGUUGGGUUAAGUCCCGCAACGAGCGCAACCCUUAUCAAUAGUUGCCAGCGGUUCGGCCGGGCACUCUAUUGAGACUGCCGUUGACAAAACGGAGGAAGGUGGGGAUGACGUCAAGUCCUCAUGGCCUUUAUGUCCAGGGCUACACACGUGCUACAAUGGCAAGUACAAAGCGCUGCAAACCUGCAAGGGGGAGCCAAUCGCAAAAACGCUUGUCUCAGUUCGGAUUGGA
rnacentral:rRNA from 1 species